rnacentral:ncRNA from 1 species
UACGGCUGAGGUUGCGGAAAUCAUCAGUACCGGUUCGGUCAGGCAAUUGCCGAAUCAGGGAAAGGGACUUUCGCCGAAGGUUAUAUCUGAUGCCAAACGGGUAUUUCCUGGGGCCGCGAAGAAUAUGCCCGGAACUGUCCUCCUGCUGGAUGUUGUGCU